GAUGAAGAACGCAGCGAAAUGCGAUAAGUAGUGUGAAUUGCAGAAUUCAGUGAAUCAUCGAAUCUUUGAACGCACAUUGCGCCCCUUGGUAUCCCGAGGGGCAUGCCUGUUCGAGCGUCAUUUCACCACUCAAGCCUGGCUUGGUGUUGGGCGACGUCCUCUUUGGGGACGCGCCUCGAAACGCUCGGCGGCGUGACACCGGCUUUAAGCGUAGCAGAAUCUUUCGCUUUGGAAGUCGGGGCCCCGUCUGCCGGAAGACCUGCUCGCAAGGUUGACCUCGGAUCAGGCAGGGAUACCCGCUGAACUUAAGCAUAUCAAUAAGCGGAGGA
rnacentral:misc_RNA from 1 species